rfam:Loxodonta africana unplaced genomic scaffold scaffold_108, whole genome shotgun sequence.
GGGCCAGUGGUGCAAUGGAUAAUGCAUCUGACUACGGAUCAGAAGAAUCCAAGUUCAAAUCCUGGCUGGCUUA